AUUGAACGCUGGCGGCAUGCCUUACACAUGCAAGUCGAACGGUAACAGGUUAAGCUGACGAGUGGCGAACGGGUGAGUAAUAUAUCGGAACGUGCCCAGUCGUGGGGGAUAACGUAGCGAAAGCUACGCUAAUACCGCAUACGAUCUACGGAUGAAAGCGGGGGAUCGCAAGACCUCGCGCGAUUGGAGCGGCCGAUAUCAGAUUAGGUUGUUGGUGAGGUAAAAGCUCACCAAGCCUGCGAUCCGUAGCUGGUCUGAGAGGACGACCAGCCACACUGGAACUGAGACACGGUCCAGACUCCUACGGGAGGCAGCAGUGGGGAAUUUUGGACAAUGGACGCAAGUCUGAUCCAGCAAUGCCGCGUGCAGGACGAAGGUCUUCGGGUUGUAAACUGCUUUUGUACGGAACGAAACGGUGAGCUCUAAUACAGUUUGCUAAUGACGGUACCGUAAGAAUAAGCACCGGCUAACUACGUGCCAGCAGCCGCAGUAA
rnacentral:rRNA from 1 species